rnacentral:rRNA from 1 species
UCCGUAGGUGAACCUGCGGUUGGAUCAUUAAAAAGAUCUAGCCCGAACUUGGACGGCGAUUGUUUUCGACAGUCGUUAUCGUUCGAUGCCGGGCUUUCUCACCUGAAAAGUGAGUCAACAUUAUGUGAACUGUUCUGUCUCUGGCGGUGGGGUGACCUAAAACGUCAUCUGUCAGCAUCCGGGUUCUCCCGGUGUGCCGUGGACAAGCCGUCAAUGGUGUAUGUUUCAUACAAACUUUUGUCUCAUCAAUCAGUCUGACCUAUCUUUGUAUCUAAAAUAUACAAAAACAACUUUUGGCAACGGAUCUCUUGGCUCCCGCAACGAUGAAGAACGCAGCGAAAUGCGAUAUGUAGUGUGAAUUGCAGAAUUCAGUGAAUCAUCGAAUCUUUGAACGCACAUUGCGCUCUCUGGUAUUCCGGGGAGCAUGCUCGUUUCAGAAUCAUUAACAUUCUCAAAGGAACGGUCUCUGCUAUCAGCGAGGCCGGAUCUUUCGCAUGUGAGCCCCUUUGCUUAAGUGCAAUGGCUUGAAAAUGGAUUGUGGUUUGGCUACCGGACCUCCUGGGGUUCGGGUUCUCUCAAGGUGCAACAGGAUGGUUAAUUCAUUUCGGUUAACUCUUGGGAUGGAGGGAUCUGGGAUCUUUAGAACGGUGUCCGCUUACACUCCAACCAAAUAUAUACCUUCAGGGAUCCUUGGAUCGCUGUUUGAUAACUUGGUCUGAAAUCGAGCAAGAAAACCCGCUGAACUUAA